UGCCCCGGUGGCUGAAUGGGUAAUGCGGCCACCUGGUAGCGCCUUGGCGUGGGGACCCAAGGCGCGUGGGUUCGAAACCCGCAGGGGACAACAUUACAUCCGGAGCCAACUUCUCAGCUCCUAAAAUAAUGGGAUGUGAACCUGCCAAGUAGGUACCUUCGGGCGGACCUACUACUUGAUUUAGCUGAUUUUUCCUAGGCUGGGAACCUGUAUUGCAUGUACCAAAUCCUGUCUUUCAUUAAUUUUCCUAUGUUCCUGUUAUAUUCUUGGCGUCGUUCAACACUAAGCAUUCCUCCUGUAUAACCAACUCUUGCCUGUAUUUAACAUCACACAAGGACUCGUCAUAAGCACUGCUUGCAUACGAGUAUAACGGAAGAAUAAUAAUAAUAAUACAUGAGAUGGUUGUAUAAGUUGACUACUAAC
rnacentral:sRNA from 1 species